rnacentral:rRNA from 1 species
AGAGCGAACGCUGGCGGCAGGCUUAACACAUGCAAGUCGAGCGCCCCGCAAGGGGAGCGGCAGACGGGAGAGUAACACGUGGGAACGUACCCUUCAGUUCGGAACAACCCAGGGAAACUUGGGCUAAUACCGAAUACGUCCGUAAGGAGAAAGAUUUAUCGCUGAAGGAUCGGCCCGCGUCUGAUUAGCUAGUUGGUGGGUAACGGCCCACCAAGGCUACGAUCAGUAGCUGGUCUGAGAGGAUGAUCAGCCUCACUGGGACUGAGACACGGCCCAGACUCCUACGGGAGGCAGCAGUGGGGAAUAUUGGACAAUGGGCGCAAGCCUGAUCCAGCCAUGCCGCGUGGGUGAUGAAGGCCCUAGGGUUGUAAAGCCCUUUCGGCGGGGAAGAUAAUGACGGUACCGCAGAAGAAGCCCGGCUAACUUCGCGCCAGCAGCCGC